AGUGAACGCUGGCGGUAGGCCUAACACAUGCAAGUCGAACAGCAGCACAGUAAGAGCUUGCUCUUACGGUUGGCGAGUGGCGGACGGGUGAGGAAUACAUCGGAAUCUACUUUUUCGUGGGGGAUAACGUAGGGAAACUUACGCUACUACCGCAUACUACCUACGGGUGAAAUCAGGGGUUCUUCGGACCUUGCGCGAUUCAAUGAGCCGAUUUCGCAGUAGCUAGUUGGCAGGGUAAAGGCCCACCAAGGCAACGAUCCGUAGCUGGCCUGAGAGGAUGAGCGGCCACACUGGAACUGAGACACGGUCCAGACUCCGACGGGAGGCAGCAGUAGGGAAUAUUGCGCAAUGGGCGAAAGCCUGACGGAGCAACGCCGCGUGAGUGAAGAAGGUCUUCGGAUCGUAAAACUCUGUUAUUAGGGAAGAAAAUAAGUGUAAGUAACUGUGCACAUCUUGACGGUACCUAAUCAGAAAGCCACGGCUAACUACGUG
rnacentral:rRNA from 1 species